GUGCUUGCUGUGGCAGCAUAUAUAUUAAAACUGGAGCAAUACAGAGAAGAUUAGGAUGGGCCCUGUGCAAGAAUGACAUACAAAAUUUGUGAAGCAGUCUAUAUUUUU
ensembl:snRNA U6 U6 spliceosomal RNA